UACGUAGGGACCAAGCGUUGUUCGGAUUUACUGGGCGUAAAGGGCGCGUAGCGGCCGCCUAAGUCAGACGUGAAAUCCCUCGGCUCAACCGGGGAACUGCGUCUGAUACUGGGUGGCUUGAAUCCGGGAGAGGGAUGCGGAAUUCCAGGUGUAGCGGUGAAAUGCGUAGAGUAAUCUGGAGGAACACCGGUGGCGAAGGCGGCGAGUCCUGGACCGGCAUUGGACGCU
rnacentral:rRNA from 1 species